rnacentral:rRNA from 1 species
AUUGAACGCUGGCGGCGUGCUUAACACAUGCAAGUCGAUCGGUAACAGGUGUAGCAAUACAUGCUGACGAGAGGCGGACGGGUGAGUAGUGCUUGGGAAUCUGCCUAUUAGUGGGGGACGAACCCGGGGAAACGUCGGGCUAAUACCGCAUACGCUCUACGGAGGAAAGACCGGGGACCGGCAAGGCCUGGCGCUAAUAGAUGAGCCCAACGUCGGAUUAGCUAGUUGGUAGGGGAACGGGCCUACCAAGGCGACAAUCCGUAGCUGGUCUGAGAGGACGACCAGCCACACCGGAACUGAGACACGGUCCGGACUCCUACGGGAGGCAGCAGUGGGGAAUAUUGGACAAUGGGGGCGAACCCUGAUCCAGCGACGCCGCGUGGGUGAAGAAGGCCUGCGGGUUGUAAAGCCCUUUCGGUGGGGAAGAAAAGUCUCGACCUAAUACGUCGGG